UGAUGUCAGUGAAAAAAAAUAACAAUAAAAGAGGAAAAAUGAAAAUGGAGUGCUACUACUACAAUUCGAUUCAAGAAUCAAGACUGCCAAUCACAGUAGCAGCACCCCCAACCCCCACCCCACCCCCACCACGAACCCAAUAAAACUUAUCUUUCCUGGAUUGCACUUUUCAAGCUUUACAAAGUGAGAAUUGUUAAAUAAUGGCAAUAGUUGCUUCUGCUCCUGGAAAGGUUUUGAUGACUGGAGGUUAUCUUGUUUUGGAGAGGCCUAAUGCUGGUAUCGUACUGAGCACAAAUGCUCGUUUUUAUGCUAUUGUGAAGCCACUUUAUGAGGAAAUUAAACCUGAAAGUUGGGCAUGGGGCUGGACAGAUGUGAAAUUGACUUCUCCCCAGAUGGAAAGAGAAACCAUGUAUAAACUUUCUCUUAAACACCUAAAACUUCAGCCUGUUUCCUCAAGUGGAUCAAGAAACCCCUUUGUAGAACAUGCGGUGCAGUAUGCCGUUGCAGCAGCCCAUGCAACACUUGACAAAGAUAAGAAGGACACAUUGCAGAGACUACUUCUUCAGGGUCUUGACAUAACCAUCUUGGGUUGCAAUGAGUUCUAUUCGUAUCGGAAUCAGAUUGAAGCACGUGGGCUCCCUCUUACACCUGAGUCAUUGGCUUCCCUUCCAUCUUUCUCUUCAAUCACCUUUAAUGCGGAAGAAUCAACUGGAGAAAAUCGCAAGCCUGAAGUUGCAAAGACUGGAUUAGGGUCAUCAGCAGCUAUGACAACUGCAGUUGUUGCCGCCUUGCUUCAUUAUCUUGGCGUUGUGAACCUCUCCUCUUUGGCUGAGGACCAACUCCUAGGAAAGAAAGAUGUAGCUGAACUUGAUGUAGUUCAUGUGAUAGCUCAAACUGCUCAUUGCAUUGCACAGGGUAAAGUUGGCAGUGGGUUUGAUGUUAGUUCUGCAGUUUAUGGAAGUCAACGCUAUAUCCGGUUUUCGCCUGAAGUGCUCUCUUCUGCACAGAAUGCAGGUAUGGCAACACCACUAACAGAAGUCAUUGAUGAUGUCCUAAAAGCAAAGUGGGACCAUGAAAAGACCAAGUUCUCAUUGCCUCCUUUGAUGACAUUAUUACUUGGAGAACCGGGCUGUGGAGGAUCUUCAACGCCAUCAAUGGUUGGGGCUGUAAAGAAAUGGCAGAGGUCUGACCCUCAGGAUUCUGUAGAAACAUGGAGAAGAUUGUCAGAAGGAAACUCUUCUCUUGAAGCGUACCUUAAUACCUUGAGUAAAUUGGCAGAGAGACAUUACAAUUCUUAUGAAUGCAUCAUCAAUGCCUGCAGCCUGCUUCCUGCUGAAAAGUGGUUGGAGAGAGCAAAUGAACCAACUCAAGCAGAAAUUGUUAAAGAAUUAUUAGGAGCUCGAGAUGCUAUGCUUCGGAUUAGGUAUCAGAUGCGGAAGAUGGGAGAAGCUGCUGGAAUUCCAGAAGCAUGACUAUAAUUAUGAAAGGGAAGUUCAAAGGGAAAACAAAUAUGUAUUCACCAGUAGUCUUUACAAGAACAAGUUCCAUCUUUGAAAUGGUGGAACUGAUUUCUGUCUCUGACAACGAUCUCUCUUUCGUAAAUCAUGGAAAUUAGUUGAGUGUAUGUGUGACAAUCACUACACAUUCUGACAUUUCUCACUAUCCUUAUAGGAGAACCUUGAGAUGUUUUUAUAAGUGCAAAUGCAAUUGCCAGCUUUUGACAAUGAGUUCUCAAUCUUUGCCUCUUCUCUUCUUCAUCUACAUCAAACAAUACCACUGAUGUAUCUGGUGAAUACCCUUCAAACUUCAGCUGCCAUUCCAUUUGGUGAAUCAUCUCAUAGACCUCAUCACUGCAGGUAUCUGACCUAUCUUGUGACACAAACUUGUAGAGCUUUCUGUUUGCUUCAACCAAGCAAGAACCAGUAUUGUAUUCAAAUGAACCUGGAUCAUCGAUUUCCUCGAAAAUCAAACAAGCAUAGUCCAUGCUGCCCCAUUCUGAAAGUGCACAAGUGGAUAAAAGAUUGCCUGCACAGAAAGAGCUACAUAUGAAUCCAAGUUUCAAGAUUUGGCCAUGGACUUGCUUCAAUUCCCUCAUAUUGUUGCUUUUCUUGAUCAUAGAAAUCCAUUCUUUUUCCUUCAAGCUGAAGUUGAAUUCUUGGGCUUUUGCAUGAUAUUCUUGGGGUAUCAGGAAUGGAGUCUGAUAAAGGACUGAAGUCCUCACCAUCCUGCUUUACACCAUCAUUUAUUUUCAAGAAUUUCUGAGCUUGACGAACUGAUAAACUCACUAGUAUAGUAGUAUCAAGAUUAGAACUUUGUGCUAUGAAAAUAUUAAAAUUUUGGAAA